rnacentral:rRNA from 1 species
AAACUAACAAGGAUUCCCCUAGUAACUGCGAGUGAAGCGGGAAAAGCUCAAAUUUAAAAUCUGGCGGUCUUUGGCCGUCCGAGUUGUANUCUAGAGAAGUGUUACCCGCGUCGGACCGUGUACAAGUCUCCUGGAAUGGAGCGUCAUAGAGGGUGAGAAUCCCGUCUUUGACACGGACUACCGAGGCUUUGUGGUGCGCUCUCAAAGAGUCGAGUUGUUUGGGAAUGCAGCUCAAAAUGGGUGGUAAAUUCCAUCUAAAGCUAAAUAUUGGCGAGAGACCGAUAGCGAACAAGUACCGUGAGGGAAAGAUGAAAAGAACUUUGGAAAGAGAGUUAAACAGUACGUGAAAUUGCUGAAAGGGAAACGCUUGAAGUCAGUCGCGUCCUCCGGGAAUCAGCCUUCCUUCUGGUUGGUGUACUUCCUGGUGGACGGGCCAGCAUCAGUUUUGACCGGUGGAAAAAGUUGGAGGGAAUGUGGCACCUUCGGGUGUGUUAUAGCCCUCCUUCGUAUACAUCGAUUGGGACUGAGGAACUCAGCACGCCGCAAGGCCGGGAUUCGUCCACGUUCGUGCUUAGGAUGCUGGCAUAAUGGCUUUAAUCGACCCGUCUUGAAACACGGACCAAGGAGUCUAACAUGCCUGCGAGUGUUUGGGUGGGAAACCCGAGCGCGUAAUGAAAGUGAAAGUUGAGAUCCCUGUCAUGGGGAGCAUCGACGCCCGGACCAGACGUUUUCUGACGGUUCUGCGGUAGAGCAUGUAUGUUGGGACCCGAAAGAUGGUGAACUAUGCCUGAAUAGGGUGAAGCCAGAGGAAACUCUGGUGGAGGCUCGUAGCGAUUCUGACGUGCAAAUCGAUCGUCAAAUUUGGGUAUAGGGGCGAAAGACUAAUCGAACCNNNNNNNNNNNNNNNNNNNNN